rnacentral:tRNA from 3 species
GGGAGUGGCUCAGUUGGUAGAGCGUUGCCUUGCCAAGGCAAAGGUCGCGGGUUCGAACCCCGUCUUCCG